rnacentral:rRNA from 1 species
CCUACGGGUGGCAGCAGUGAGGAAUAUUGGUCAAUGGGCGCGAGCCUGAACCAGCCAAGUAGCGUGAAGGAUGACUGCCCUACGGGUUGUAAACCUCUUUUGUCAGGGAGCAAUUGGCGCUACGUGUAGCGUUAUCGAGAGUACCUGAAGAAAAAGCAUCGGCUAACUCCGUGCCAGCAGCCGCGGUAAUACGGAGGAUGCGAGCGUUAUCCGGAUUUAUUGGGUUUAAAGGGUGCGUAGGCGGAAUGCCAAGUCAGCGGUAAAAUCGCGGGGCUCAACCUCGCUCCGCCGUUGAAACUGGCGGUCUUGAGUGGGCGAGAAGUAUGCGGAAUGCGUGGUGUAGCGGUGAAAUGCAUAGAUAUCACGCAGAACUCCGAUUGCGAAGGCAGCAUACCGGCGCCCAACUGACGCUGAAGCACGAAAGCGUGGGUAUCGAACAGGAUUAGAUACCCUUGUAGUC